rnacentral:rRNA from 1 species
GUAGGGAAUAUUGGGCAAUGGAGGCAACUCUGACCCAGCCAUGCCGCGUGCAGGAUGACGGCCCUCUGGGUUGUAAACUGCUUUUAUACGGGAAGAAAAAAUACUACGUGUAGUAUACUGACGGUACCGUAAGAAUAAGGAUCGGCUAACUCCGUGCCAGCAGCCGCGGUAAUACGGAGGAUCCAAGCGUUGUCCGGAUUUAUUGGGUUUAAAGGGUGCGUAGGCGGAUCUUUAAGUCAGUGGUGAAAGCCUGCAGCUUAACUGUAGAAUUGCCAUUGAGACUGAAGAGCUUGAAUGUGGUGAAAGUAGGCGGAAUGUAUCAUGUAGCGGUGAAAUGCUUAGAUAUGAUACAGAACACCGAUAGCGAAGGCAGCUUGCUGAACCAUUAUUGACGCUGAGGCACGAAAGCGUGGGGAGCGAACAGGAUUAGAUACCCGUGUAGUCC